UCGGCUUAGAGUUUGAUCAUGGCUCAGGACGAACGCUGGCGGCAUGCCUAAUACAUGCAAGUCGAACGAGUGCUUGCACAGUGGCGAACUGGUGAGUAACACGUGGGAAAUCUGCCCAGAAGCAGGGGAUAACACUUGGAAACAGGUGCUAAUACCGUAUAACAACAAAUCCGCAUGGAUUUUGUUGAAAGGUGUUCGUAUCACUUCUGGAUGAUCCCGCGGCGUAUUAGUUAGUUGGUGAGGUAAAGGCCCACCAAGACGAUGAUACGUAGCCGACCUGAGAGGGUAAUCGGCCACAUUGGGACUGAGACACGGCCCAAACUCCUACGGGAGGCAGCAGUAGGGAAUCUUCCACAAUGGACGAAAGUCUGAUGGAGCAAUGCCGCGUGAGUGAAGAAGGGUUUCGGCUCGUAAAACUCUGUUGUUAAAGAAGAACACCUUUGAGGUAAUUCAAGGGUUGACGGUAUUUAACCAGAAAGCCACGGCUAACUACGUGCCAGCAGCCGCGGUAAUACGUAGGUGGCAAGCGUUGUCCGGAUUUAUUGGGCGUAAAGCGAGCGCAGGCGGUUUUUUAAGUCUGAUGUGAAAGCCUUCGGCUUAACCGGAGAAGUGCAUCGGAAACUGGGGGACUUGAGUGCAGAAGAGGACAGUGGACCUCCAGGUGUAGCGGUGGGAUGCG
rnacentral:rRNA from 1 species